UACGUAGGUGACAAGCGUUGUCCGGAUUUACUGGGCGUAAAGAGCGCGCAGGCGGUCGUUCAAGUCGAGUGUGAAAGCCCCCGGCUCAACUGGGGAGGGUCACUCGAUACUGAUCGACUCGAAGGCGGGAGAGGGAAGCGGAAUUCUCGGUGUAGAGGUGAAAUUCGUAGAUAUCGAGAGGAACACCGGUGGCGAAGGCGGCUUCCUGGACAGUUACUGACGCUGAGACGCGAAAGCGUGGGGAGCAAACAGG
rnacentral:rRNA from 1 species